rnacentral:lncRNA from 1 species
UAUUUAUUUUACUCAUUAUAUAUAAAUGUAUAGACAGACAUACAUUAUUCAUAUAUAUGCAUUAUACAUAUGAAUGCAUGUGUUAUGGUAAUUUUGACUUCAUGCUGUUUUCAUCUUCCACAUUUACUUUACAACAUAAUGCUCUUGGACAAGAUCUGACGCCACUGCACAUGUUCCCAAGGCUGGCAUUGGAUGGCUACUUCACAAAUGCUUAGGUCUGUGUUGCAUAAAAUGUUUUUCGCAGAAGAUGGUGGAAGAACUGUUGUCUCAGGCUGAGUCCUGCUUAGACUUCUUGUAGACGCUGUGUGCCCCACCCAGAACCCUUUUACAUGGCCGGUGGAUGCAGCAGCUACCACAGGUGUCAGUGGUUAAGAGCACAUAGCUGUCCUUCAUACCUCUUUUCUAGAGUAUUAUCUCAAUCAACAGGAGCUGCUUUUCCCAGAAACAUUUGGAAAUUAUUCCCCUUACCCCAGAGUGGAGGCAGCCCAAAGCCAAUGACUGAUAUCAGGGCACAAAGCUGGACCCCUUACCUCAAGGAGAUGAUAACACUGUGGUACCAUUCACACUCCAGACUCUCUGUGUGAUUAGUCUGAGGCUAGACUCAGAUGACAUCACAUCCUUACUUGGCUCCUUCCUUUGCCCUAUCCUGCAUCCCUUACUUCUCUUCUCUUGGGAGCUCACUUUCAAUAGUCACUUGCACAAAAACCCCCAUCUUGAGGCUCUUCAUUCAGGGUACCCAACCUAAAACCCUCUGAACCUAUUUUCCUACUGUGAGUCAUCCCUAAAGGUUGAUAGUGUACCAAAGAUAGGUCAACCUGACGAAUACACCUUCCAGUAUUGAAGCCUCCGUUACCCAAUGAGAAUGGGAAAUGAUGCAUCCCACAUAACUAAAUUUCUACCACUUAAGCCCUGAAACUAUUUUACCAAUAGGAGCUGUUGGAAAAUAAUUUUGUGACAUCAAUGAAGUGAGAAAUUUCCUGGGCUUGAAAUCAUAAGACCUUAUUUUUCAACCAGACUCCAUAGUUAACUUAUUCUGUGGAUGUAGGCAAGGCCCUUCGCUGGAGGCUCAUUGUCAUUGUUGACAAGAUGGGGAUCAUCCAAUUCUCCCGAUCACUUUGUAGAUUGCUGUGAGGGACCAAUUGAUAAUGAAUGUGAAAGCAUUUUGAAAACUGCCAAGUGGAUUUAUUAGUCCCGAUUCUCUUGUAUGCAAGAGAAAAUAGCCAUCAACUUAGAAAGGGUCUGUAAAAGCUUGUGUGUCUAAGGAGUUCACAGUGUGAGACGAGGAUCCGAUUCAGGAAUUCGGUCACCACUGGAAUUUUGUCUUCCCUCCAAUUUCUUAGCAACUCUGAUAUCUUUUUAGCGUUGUUCUAAGAAAGGCUCUCUGUAUGUGGAAGAAAGGCGGUUUCAGUUAGCAUUCCUCCAUUCCCACCACCUAUCCAGGCUUCAGAGCAUCCUUAGAGCUUAUGAUCCAGGGGAGAAGAGGACAACUUUCUGCAUAACUUGGGAAAAAAUCAGGGGGCAAACUGUUGGGGCAGGCUUGGGUCAUGUGCCCAUCCCUGAAGCAAUGGCUGUGUGCUAUAGAAGGGAAUACGCUAAUUGGACAGAACCAGGUUUUAUGCCCUCUUCUAGGGUCAUGGAGUUCAGCUCCACCAGAACCAAAUGGAACAAUCAGAAAUGCUGUGGGAUGUGGAAGUGAUAAUUUUCCUAAAAACCAGCACGGCAGCUGGUUCAAAGAAUGAGUAUACCAAGAAGCAAGGCCAUAUGUACUUGCAUCAUGCUUGCUAAUGUCCCAUUGGCAAUGGCCAGACGCAUACUCAAUCAAGUCCAUACUCAAUGCUGGAGGAGAACACACAAUGGCAAGAAUACCAGGAGGCACACACACAGAUUACAGAAGUUACAGCACACUGCAGCAUGAGGAGAAUAUUGUGGAUUCCAUCAGGAAUUUCUUUCCUAUAUAAUCUCAGUGCACACUGCUGCCGCCAUAUUUUUGCACCUAAGUGAUAUGAACAGCAGUCAGCUGUGAAAACUGAAGUUUGCUUCCACCAUGCAUGGAAAUUACUUCAAUAAAUUUUACUUGAAUAAAUGAAAUUGAAUGCAAACACUUAUAUGUCUAAGACUCCUGCCUAUCAGGACUGACAGCCAUCUCCACGUGGCUGACCAAAGCUGCAAAAGAUGCAACAGCCCAUCAUGGGCCUUUUGACUUACAGGCAAACACAUCACAGAGUCCACGCUACUGCUUCAUGCCGUGAACUGCUUCGUGGGAACUUACGUCAGUGAGGAAGUACAGAACCAAAUGAGGUCAGUUCUCUCCUUUGCAAGCUCCUCUUAGGCCCAGAGGAAAACUACACUCUACGUUACUCAAGAUUAAAACACUUUUCCCCAAAAUAGAGUUUCCUAGGCCUAUGACUUAACAAGGCAAGCAGGACCAACCUGCUCACUUGAGAGUAAGCCUCUUGAGGGUAGAGUCUUAAGUCAUCGGUACUCAAAGCGGUUAUUCCAUAACAUUUACUGAACAUGUGCAAUGGGCGCUAGCACUGUGAUGGUUUCUUUAAUCAUCACAUUAACCAAAGAAACAUAAGCUCCUUGAGAAUAAAGACUUUGCCCAGCUCAUUCAACAUAAUAUCUCCAGUAGCUUGGAUGAUGGCCAGCACAUAGCAGGUAUGCAAUAAACAUCAGUUGAUAGAGUAAACAACCUGUAAAUUAGAUAAUGUACUGAUUUUAUAGGAAAAAAACCCCCCAGAAGUUCAGAAAUUACGUAACUUCGCCUAAAUCACACAGCUAGUGCAUGUCAGGGCCAGAAUUCCAAAAAUGGUCCAUGAGCCUCUGAAAUGCACACUGGAUCCAUCCUGCUCUCCUCUUUUUACUACCUUACAAUAGAGUAUGACAUCUCUCCUCUUCUGGGGGUGCCCAAGUGCUGUGAAGAUGGCCUCUUGCUUCUUAUUUUAACCAAACGCCCACUCUUCUCUCUCUGGCACAAGACUACAUAUCAGAACAAAUUCAGUGACGGAGAAUCAAGUCUAAUUUUUAUAGUUUUGGUAGGUCAUUCACAAAGUAUAGCAACAAAUUACUAGUAACACAGUAGUGUGUACUGGAACUCUGGCCAAAAAUCACUAUACUUAGGGUUGCUUGAUUUAGCAAAUAAAAAUAUAGGAUGCCUAGUUAAACUUGAAUUUCAAAUAAACACCAAACCAUAUUACAAUAUUAAUAUCAUGCAAUAUUUGGGGCAUAUAUACUAAAAAAUCAUUUGUUGUUUGUCUGAAACGCGAGUUUAACUGGUGUACUGUAUUUUAUCUGGCAAUUUUUUUUGUUUUUGAGGAAGAUUAGCCCUAAGCUAACUACUGCCAAUCCUCCUCUUUUUUGCUGAGGAAGCCUGGCCCUGAGCUAACAUCCAUGCCCAUCUUCCUCCACUUUAUACUUGGGAUGCCUAUCACAGCAUGGUGUGCCAAACCGUGCCAUGUCCACACCCAGCAUCCGAACCGGCGAACCCCAGGCCACCGAGAAGCGGAACGUGCACACUUUGCUGCACCACUGGGCUGCCCCUUAUCUGGCAAUCUUAACUAUAGUAUAUCACGCACUCUGCCCAUCGCAAUAGCAGGAGCCAAAAGGUAUUGGUUAAACAGAUAAAUGAAUGGAUGGAUAGAAGAAUAGAUAAGUAAGUGAACAAAUGAUUAUUUAGAAUCUCUAAUUGUCUGUUUCUGGCAUUGUAUGUAGGCAAAUAUCAGCAUGCAUCCUAUUUUAUGUCAUCUGCAACAUCAUCAUAUGUCCUUUAGUCAGAGCUUAUCAUUCAGGGCCACGGGGGUCAUUUGACUGGGGCUGUGUAAUCAUGAAAGGCUCCG